UGGAGACUAUUGCCAGGGAGAAUAGUUACAAAGAAGAAAUAAGCAUAACAAUUUAAACAUCCAGAAGUUCAGAAGAGACAAAAUCCAAGAAAAACACCAUGGUAAAAUCCAUGACCUCCAAUGUUUAUCUGCAGAUGUCCAAACUUUAAGCAACAAAUAAGAGGAACAAGAACUAACAUGUAGGUAUCAUUGAGACUUAAUGGAUUGAAACUCAUAACUGGACCAUGGCUCUAGGUUGAAGAAUGGUAUUCCUCCAUCAGAGAAGGUCUUCGGUGCCAUAUCUGAAGCUGUAGUGGACAGAGUUGUUUAGCCUCAGUACAAAAUGGAGCCCAGAGGAGGCUGCACUCUGGACUUCCUGUCCUAUGCCCCAGCUCUUCAUCCAGAAGCCUCCCUCCAGCCUUGGAAUUCACACAUUGGAAGCACCCUCCUCCUGGGAUGAGAUGGCUCCUCUCAGAACUUCCAGUUCAGGAAGAAGCCCACCCACAGCAGCCCAGCUCAUUCCUCUCCAGGCUGCACUCUGGACUUUUACCAUGUCCCACACCCAGUACCUUUGUCUAUCCUGCCCUCCCUUUACAGAUUCCUUUCAUGUGUUGUUUUCCCCCUUCUGAAUGUAGUCUUCUUGAGGGCAA